rnacentral:rRNA from 1 species
CCUUCGGGUUGUAAAGCUCUUUCAGCCGGAAAGAAAUCGUACAGAUUAAUACUUUGUAUGGAUGACGGUACCGGAAGAAGAAGCACCGGCUAACUACGUGC